rnacentral:rRNA from 1 species
UACGUAGGGGGCUAGCGUUGUCCGGAAUCAUUGGGCGUAAAGAGCGUGUAGGCGGUCCGGUAAGUCCGCUGUGAAAGUCGGGGGCUCAACCCUCGAAUGCCGGUGGAUACUGUCGGGCUAGAGUGCGGAAGAGGCGAGUGGAAUUCCUGGUGUAGCGGUGAAAUGCGCAGAUAUCAGGAGGAACACCAAUUGCGAAGGCAGCUCGCUGGGACGUAACUGACGCUGAGACGCGAAAGCGUGGGGAGCAAACAGG